rnacentral:rRNA from 1 species
GACGAACGCUGGCGGCGUGCCUAACACAUGCAAGUCGAACGAAGAAUGUUUUUCGGAAUAUUCUUAGUGGCGGACGGGUGAGUAACGCGUGAACAAUCUGCCCCGUACAAAGGGAUAGCCUCGGGAAACCGGGAUUAAAACCAUAUAACACUUAACUGCCGCAUGGUAGUGAAGUCAAAUCGAUUAAGAGGUAUGGGAUGAGUUCGCGUCUGAUUAGCUAGUUGGUGAGGUAAGGGCUCACCAAGGCGACGAUCAGUAGCCGGCCUGAGAGGGUGAACGGCCACACUGGAACUGAGACACGGUCCAGACUCCUACGGGAGGCAGCAGUGGGGAAUAUUGCACAAUGGAGGGAACUCUGAUGCAGCGACGCCGCGUGAGUGAAGAAGGGUCUUCGGAUCGUAAAACUCUGUCCUUGGUGAGAAAAGGACGGUAGCCAAGGAGGAAGCCCGGCUAACUACGUG